AUUCAGCUGAUGAGUCCCUAUGAGGACGAAAUGUGAGUCCUGAAU
rnacentral:hammerhead_ribozyme from 1 species